rnacentral:rRNA from 1 species
UUGCCCUGAUGUGGGGGAUAACCAUUGGAAACGAUGGCUAAUACCGCAUGAUGCCUACGGGCCAAAGAGGGGGACCUUCGGGCCUCUCGCGUCAGGAUAUGCCUAGGUGGGAUUAGCUAGUUGGUGAGGUAAGGGCUCACCAAGGCGACGAUCCCUAGCUGGUCUGAGAGGAUGAUCAGCCACACUGGAACUGAGACACGGUCCAGACUCCUACGGGAGGCAGCAGUGGGGAAUAUUGCACAAUGGGCGCAAGCCUGAUGCAGCCAUGCCGCGUGUGUGAAGAAGGCCU